rnacentral:tRNA from 1 species
GGAGGGGUGCCCGAGUGGUUAAAGGGGGCUGACUGUAAAUCAGCCGGCUAUGCCUGCGGUGGUUCGAAUCCAUCCCCCUCCA